ACGAACGCUGGCGGCGUGCCUAACACAUGCAAGUUGAGCGACGAACCAGGGCUUGCCCUGGGGCAAAGCAGCGAACGGGUGAGUAACACGUGGGUAACCUACCCCGAUAACCGGGACAACCCGAGGAAACUCGGGCUAAUACCGGAUGUGCUCACUGGACUUCGGUUCAGUGCGUAAAGGAAGCUUCGGCCUCCGUAUCGGGAGGGGCCCGCGGCCCAUUAGUUUGUUGGUGAGGUAACGGCUCACCAAGACCGCGAUGGGUAGCUGGUCUGAGAGGACGAUCAGCCACACUGGGACUGAGACACGGCCCAGACUCCUACGGGAGGCAGCAGUGGGGAAUCUUGCGCAAUGCGCGAAAGCGUGACGCAGCAACGCCGCGUGGGGGAAGAAGGCCUUCGGGUUGUAGACCCCUUUCAGGAGGGACGAAGGUUCGGCGGUGAAUAGCCGUCCGGACUGACGGUACCUCCACAAGAAGCCCCGGCUAACUACGUG
rnacentral:rRNA from 1 species